rnacentral:misc_RNA from 1 species
AAGAAACCAACAGGGAUUGCCCUAGUAACGGCGAGUGAAGCGGCAAGAGCUCAAAUUUGAAAUCUGGCCCCUCCGGGGUCCGAGUUGUAAUUUGCAGAGGAUGCUUCGGGUGCGGUCCCCAUCUAAGUGCCCUGGAACGGGCCGUCAUAGAGGGUGAGAAUCCCGUCUGGGAUGGGUGGCCGUGCCCGUGUGAAGCUCCUUCGACGAGUCGAGUUGUUUGGGAAUGCAGCUCUAAAUGGGUGGUAAAUUUCAUCUAAAGCUAAAUAUUGGCCGGAGACCGAUAGCGCACAAGUAGAGUGAUCGAAAGAUGAAAAGCACUUUGAAAAGAGAGUUAAACAGCACGUGAAAUUGUUGAAAGGGAAGCGCUUGCGACCAGACUCGCCCGCGGGGGUUCAGCCGGUACUCGUACCGGUGUAUUCCCCCGUGGGCGGGCCAGCGUCGGUUUGGGCGGCCGGUCAAAGGCCCCCGGAAUGUGUCGCCUCUCGGGGCGUCUUAUAGCCGGGGGUGCAAUGCGGCCAGCCUGGACCGAGGAACGCGCUUCGGCACGGACGCUGGCGUAAUGGUCGUAAGCGGCCCGUCUUGAAACACGGACCAAGGAGUCUAACAUCUACGCGAGUGUUCGGGUGUCAAACCCGUCCGCGCAGUGAAAGCGAACGGAGGUGGGAACCUUUCGGGGUGCACCAUCGACCGAUCCUGAUGUCUUCGGAUGGAUUUGAGUAAGAGCGUAGCUGUUGGGACCCGAAAGAUGGUGAACUAUGCCUGAAUAGGGCGAAGCCAGAGGAAACUCUGGUGGAGGCUCGCAGCGGUUCUGACGUGCAAAUCGAUCGUCAAAUUUGGGUAUAGGGGCGAAAGACUAAUCGAACCAUCUGGUAGCUGGUUCCUGCCGAAGUUUCCCUCAGGAUAGCAGUAACGUUUUCAGUUUUAU